AAGCUGGGAAGUCCAAUAUCAAAGUGUUAGCAUCUGUCAAGGGGCUUCUCACUGUGCCAUCCUAUGGCAGAAGGCAGAAAGAAACCAAACAGCUUUAUAUUACUGAAGAUGCUCCAGGGCCAGAAGAGAAAAAAUGCAGGUCAUAUGCUUGACGCAUGACACUCAAUAUCGUCGAGUUCGAGCUGUGGCUGAAAUCAGGGGUGGGCUGAGGAGAUCUCUCCAUAUGUCAUCAAAGAUGAAGUCUGGAGCCAACCAGGUGGCAUGGAGGUUAAGGCAACUGAAUCCCACAUGGCUGGCUUUGUAG